rnacentral:rRNA from 1 species
UAGGGAAUCUUGCACAAUGGGCGAAAGCCUGAUGCAGCAACGCCGCGUGGGGGAAGAAGGCUCUCGGGUCGUAAACCCCUUUCAGCAGGGACGAAACUGACGGUACCUGCAGAAGAAGCGCCGGCCAACUACGUGCCAGCAGCCGCGGUAACACGUAGGGCGCAAGCGUUGUCCGGAUUUAUUGGGCGUAAAGAGCUCGUAGGCGGUUUGGUAAGUCGGGUGUGAAAACUUCGGGCUCAACCCGGAGACGCCACCCGAUACUGCCAUGACUCGAGUCCGGUAGAGGAGUACGGAAUUCCCAGUGUAGCGGUGAAAUGCGCAGAUAUUGGGAGGAACACCAGUAGCGAAGGCGGUACUCUGGGCCGGAACUGACGCUGAGGAGCGAAAGCGUGGGGAGCGAACAGGAUUAGAUACCCCCGUAGUCC